UCAUCGAGGUGGUGGGUCUAGGACUUAGACUAGCAUCCCAAUUCCAACAGGAGCCUUUUGGAGCGGGUGUGACUCCCUGGAAAGAAUAGUCCUCUUGCAGUUGGAAUAUUAAAGUCGGACCCAGUGGAGAGGGAAAAAAAAAGGAAGGGAGAAAGUAAAGCUGCUCAUCGACCCUCCGUCAUCGACAAGAGCUUUCAGGGGGGACAGUGAAGCCGAAUCCCCACACGUUUUUGUGACAGAUUCCAGGUGGGACAGAAGACACCUGUCUCAGUUAAAGUAGCGGGAAAAGAAGAGGAUGGAGGCAAGAAGAAAGCAAGACCAAAACAGGAGGACAGGCAUGCCUGUGUGCUUUUCGACGAAACACAUCAGUGCUCCAUCAUUCCCUGCGCCGUGAAAUGGUGCAGUCACAAACAGACUCUCGCUGUGGGUGUUGCUGCUGCUGUCAACUUGACAUGUCUCCACCUAUCAGGGGUCAAAAGGAAAUCCAUCCUCUGUCCUCUUGCAGAGGCCACAGCAAGACCAGCGGACCUACACCAACUUAGACACAUGUAAUCCCACAAUGACGUGUGAAAACAGACACUGUCAUGCCAAGAUAUAGCCCAUAAGAAAACCUCCUACCUGUUGUCUCCCUCAGUCCCACUCCUUGCUGUAAACACUGAGCUUUCAUCCCUGUCCAACUCGACCUGGAGAAUCACCAACCCAAGCUGCCUGUUGCCAAGCAGACAAGCAGGUUUAUUUUGGAGGCCCAGACAAGAAAAACUCAUAACGACAGAGUACCAGACAUAACAAUAAAACUAAGAUAGUGAAGAAGAUGGCAACAUUUCAGCUUUCCAAUUGCCACGGCUCCUUCCUGGAUUCGUCUUGUGUUAGAUGUCCUGUUCACUUCAAGCCAUAAACUACUAUAGCACCUUGGUCUUCAAACAACAUGCUAAAUUUACUUCUACCUGAGAAGAGGUCUUUGGACCACUGAGCAACAGUCCAGGUGCGGUUGUGUCCCUAGAACAUAAGAGCACUCCUGCAGGAACAAGG